CGAACGGGUGAGUAACGCGUGAGGAACCUGCCUCAAAGAGGGGGACAACAGUUGGAAACGACUGCUAAUACCGCAUAAGCCCACGGCUCGGCAUCGAGCAGAGGGAAAAGGAGUAAUCCGCUUUGAAAUGGCCUCGCGUCCGAUUAGCUAGUUGGUGAGGUAAUGGCCCACCAAGGCAACGAUCGGUAGCCGGACUGAGAGGUUGAACGGCCACAUUGGGACUGAGACACGGCCCAG
rnacentral:rRNA from 1 species